rnacentral:rRNA from 1 species
AGUGAACGCUGGCGGUAGGCCUAACACAUGCAAGUCGAACGGCAGCACAGGAGAGCUUGCUCUCUGGGUGGCGAGUGGCGGACGGGUGAGGAAUACAUCGGAAUCUACUCUGUCGUGGGGGAUAACGUAGGGAAACUUACGCUAAUACCGCAUACGACCUACGGGUGAAAGCAGGGGACCUUCGGGCCUUGCGCGAUUGAAUGAGCCGAUGUCGGAUUAGCUAGUUGGCGGGGUAAAGGCCCACCAAGGCGACGAUCCGUAGCUGGUCUGAGAGGAUGAUCAGCAACACUGGAACUGACACCCGGUCCAGACUCCUACGGGAGGCAGCAGUGGGGAAUAUUGGACAAUGGGCGCAAGCCUGAUCCAGCCAUACCGCGUGGGUGAAGAAGGCCUUCGGGUUGUAAAGCCCUUUUGUUGGGAAAGAAAUCCAGCUGGCUAAUACCCGGUUGGGAUGACGGUACCCAAAGAAUAAGCACCGGCUAACUUCGUGCCAGCCGCCGCUGUAA